CCUACGGGAGACAGCAGUGGGGAAUAUUGCACAAUGGGGGAAACUCUGAUGCAGCAACGCCGCGUGAGUGAAGAAGUAUUUCGGUAUGUAAAGCUCUAUUAGCAGGGAAGAAGAUGACGGUACCUGAGUCAGAAGCCCCGGCUAACUACGUGCCAGCAGCCGAGGUAAUACGUAGGGGGCAAGCGUUAUCCGGAUUUACUGGGUGUAAAGGGAGCGUAGACGGCUGCGCAAGUCUGAAGUGAAAGCCCGGGGCUCAACCCCGGGACUGCUUUGGAAACUGUGUAGCUAGAGUGCAGGAGAGGCAAGCGGAAUUCCUAGUGUAGCGGUGAAAUGCGUAGAUAUUAGGAAGAACACCAGUGGCGAAGGCGGCUUGCUGGACAGUAACUGACGUUGAGGCUCGAAAGCGUGGGGAGCAAACAGGAUUAGAUACCCGUGUAGUC
rnacentral:rRNA from 1 species